rnacentral:tRNA from 1 species
GUGGUUGUAGCUCAGUGGUAGAGUGCUUGCCUACCAUGUGUAAGGCACUGGGUUCAUGAGUGAGGCACUGGGUUCUAUCCUCAGCACCACA